rnacentral:lncRNA from 1 species
AAUCAAUUACCUCCUAAAUGUAUUGUCUCUAUUUCUAAUAUUUGAACACACAAAGAAACUAUAAUCUCCUCCUUUAUCUUAUUGGUCUCUUCCUUACAAUAAUUCAAUUAUAUCAAUAACUGCUAUUUCCACCAAUAUAUUUAUUCUCAUAAUCUCCAACUGUAAUACUGUGCCCUCACAACUUUCAGCACACAAUUACCCUCAUUCCAAUCACUGGAAUUCUUCACACAGAACUGCCAUUCACAUUAUGGUGUUUCACACAAACACAGAUUCAUUCUCUCUACUGAACUACAAUCAGAUUUCAGCAUUCAAUCUUUCUUCUUCUCAAAUAAUAUCAAUCACAUUUCCAUUCCAUAAUUCACUUCACAAUAUUCAGAAACUCUCAAUCUUCUUAUUCAAAGAAAAUAACAAACAAAAGAAAAGAGGUAGCACCAAGCUUACCCCAGCUCACAACUAUCACAACGAUGGCACCUUA